UCUUCCCAUUCCGAACAGAGAAGUCAAGCCCGCCAGAGCCGAUGGUAUUGCCGUAACAGGUGGGAGAGUAGGUCGGUGCCUUUU
rnacentral:rRNA from 2 species